rnacentral:rRNA from 1 species
UACGAAGGGUGCAAACGUUGCUCGGAAUUAUUGGGCGUAAAGCGCACGUAGGCGGCAUUGCAAGUCGAAUGUGAAAUCCCUCGGCUUAACCAAGGAAGUGCAUCCGAAACUGCAGUGCUUGAGUACUUAAGAGGAUCGCGGAAUUCUCGGUGUAGAGGUGAAAUUCGUAGAUAUCGGGAGGAACACCGGUGGCGAAGGCGGCGAUCUGGGUCGAUACUGACGCUGAGGUGCGAAAGCGUGUGGAGCAAACAGG